GACGAACGCUGGCGGCGUGCCUAAUACAUGCAAGUAGAACGCUGAAGGAGGAGCUUGCUUCUCUGGAUGAGUUGCAAACGGGUGAGUAACGCGUAGGUAACCUGCCUGGUAGCGGGGGAUAACUAUUGGAAACGAUAGCUAAUACCGCAUAAUAGCAGUUGUUGCAUGACAACUGUUUGAAAGGUGCAAUUGCACCACUACCAGAUGGACCUGCGUUGUAUUAGCUAGUUGGUGGGGUAACGGCUCACCAAGGCGACGAUACAUAGCCGACCUGAGAGGGUGAUCGGCCACACUGGGACUGAGACACGGCCCAGACUCCUACGGGAGGCAGCAGUAGGGAAUCUUCGGCAAUGGACGGAAGUCUGACCGAGCAACGCCGCGUGAGUGGAGAAGGUUUUCGGAUCGGAAAGCUCGGUUGUAAGAGAAGAACGGGUGUGAGAGUGGAAAGUUCACACUGUGACGGUAUCUUACCAGAAAGGGACGGCUAACUACGUG
rnacentral:rRNA from 1 species